rnacentral:misc_RNA from 1 species
GAUGAAGAACGUAGCGAAAUGCGAUAAGUAAUGUGAAUUGCAGAAUUCAGUGAAUCAUCGAAUCUUUGAACGCACAUUGCGCCCCCUGGUAUUCCGGGGGGCAUGCCUGUUCGAGCGUCAUUACAACCCUCAAGCUCUGCUUGGUAUUGGGCCCCGCCAGUUCUGGCGGGCCCUAAAGUCAGUGGCGGUGCCUUCCGGCUCCGAGCGUAGUAAUUCUUCUCGCCCUGGAGACCCGGUUGUGUGCUUGCCAACAACCCCCAAUUUUUUAAGGUUGACCUCGGAUCAGGUAGGGAUACCCGCUGAACUUAAGCAUAUCAAUAAGCGGAGGA